rnacentral:rRNA from 1 species
GGAGUCUGGUCCGUGUCUCAGUACCAGUGUGGGGGACCUUCCUCUCAGAACCCCUAACGAUCGUAGGCCAGGUGGGCCGUUACCCCGCCUGCUGCCUAAUCGUACGCAUCCCCAUCCAUCGGCGACCGAAGUCUUUCGUGAAAAUCAGAGGCCUUCUUCUCACAACAUCAGGUAUUAGGCUCCCUUUCGGGAGUUUAUCCCUGACCCAUGGGCAGGUUGGAUACGCGUUACUCACCCGUGCGCCGGUCGCCAUCAAUCUUAGCAAGCUAAGAUCAUGCUGCCCCUCGACUUGCAUGUGUUAAGCCUGUAGCUAGCGUUCAUC